UACAGAGGGGGCAAGCGUUGCUCGGAAUCACUGGGCGUAAAGGGUGCGUAGGCGGGUCUUUAAGUCAGGGGUGAAAUCCUGGAGCUCAACUCCAGAACUGCCUUUGAUACUGAAGAUCUUGAGUUCGGGAGAGGUGAGUGGAACUGCGAGUGUAGAGGUGAAAUUCGUAGAUAUUCGCAAGAACACCAGUGGCGAAGGCGGCUCACUGGCCCGAUACUGACGCUGAGGCACGAAAGCGUGGGGAGCAAACAGG
rnacentral:rRNA from 1 species